rnacentral:rRNA from 1 species
UUUAAAACAGAGAAAACAACCCUCUCACAGGUGGGGGAGGUUCGGACGGGUACUUGUAUAAAAAAAGAAUCGGGAUAAAUUCGGUGCCAAGAAGCCGGCGGUAAAUACGGAGGAAUCCAAGGCUUUAUCCGGAAUCCAUUGGGUUUAAAGGGGUCCGGUAGGCGGGAAUAAUAAAUUCAGUGGUGAAAAUUCUGCCGCUUAACCGGUAGAAUUGCCAUUGAUACUGUUGUUCUUGAAUUAUUAUGAAGUGGUUGGAAUGAGUAGUGUAGCGGUGAAAUGCAUAGAUAUUACUCAGAACACCUAUUGCGAAGGCAGAUCACUAAUAAUAUAUUGACGCUGAUGGACGAAAGCGUAGGUAGCGAACAGGAUUAGAUACCCUGGUAGUCUACGCCGUAAACGAUGGUCACUAGCUGUCCGGCCUAAUUGAGGGCUGGGUGGUUAAGCGAAAGUGAUAAGUGACCCACCUGGGGAGUACGUUCGCAAGAAUGAAACUCAAAGGAAUUGACGGGGGCCCGCACAAGCGGUGGAGCAUGUGGUUUAAUUCGAUGAUACGCGAGGAACCUUACCAGGGCUUAAAUGCAGUUGGACAGGUCUGGAAACAGACCCUUCUUCGGACUAAUUGCAAGGUGCUGCAUGGUUGUCGUCAGCUCGUGCCGUGAGGUGUCAGGUUAAGUCCUAUAACGAGCGCAACCCCUGUGGUUAGUUGCCAGCACGUAAUGGUGGGAACUCUAGCCAGACUGCCGGUGCAAACCGCGAGGAAGGUGGGGAUGACGUCAAAUCAUCACGGCCCUUACGUCCUGGGCCACACACGUGCUACAAUGGUAGGGACAGAGGGCAGCUACCCCGCGAGGGGAUGCGAAUCUUCAAACCCUAUCACAGUUCGGAUCGCAGUCUGCAACUCGACUGCGUGAAGCUGGAAUCGCUAGUAAUCGCAUAUCAGCCAUGAUGCGGUGAAUACGUUCCCGGGCCUUGUACACACCGCCCGUCAAGCCAUGGAAGCCGGGGGUACCUGAAGUCGGUCACCGCAAGGAGCCGCCUAGGGUAAGACUGGUAACUGGGG